UAUCGGUAUGUGCAAGAGAGCUUUCUCUAUGUGCUCGCUUGCACAGCAAGCAGAGUGCGAAAAUGGGAAAAUUGUUAUUGCCGUCCAAAGAAGAGAGUGCGAAAAACCCGUGGCCUCCUCGCCUCUCCUCCCCUCCUCUGUGUAUGGAGCGUCGCCCAACAACUGGAUUCCGCGCCGGGAGACUCACCCUGAGCGCGUAUGUCGGUCUGGCUCGGUACGUACCCCUUCCUAUCGGGCACCUUCUCACUUUUACCCUUUUUCAGGCAGUUUCACCCACGGAAAAUUAUUUAGACGCUGGAGGAAAAACAAGCGCGUCCGAUCGCUUUCACUCUUCGACUCUGUAACGUGUGCCAGUGUGUGUUUGUGUGUGUGUGUGUGUAUGUGUGUUUGCGUCUGUCUCCCACCAUGACGCGUCGGCCUUUCGGGCAUUUUUAAUUGAUUUUAAAAUUUAUCAAACAGGAAGCAUCUCUUGAGCGGAGAGAACACGUUGGAAGCUCGCGCUCUCUGGCAACGGCUUUGGCUUUAGCUUUGCCUGUGGCUCUGGAUCGCACUGCGUGUCCAUUUAACGGCAUUUUACGGCGCAGAUCGCCAACCAGCUGGCCACAUUGUAGAAAGCGGACAGCAGCCAAAGUGUUUUCUGUCUCUACUGAUCGAUGUGGCGGGCGGUCUGGCUGUGGUCUGGCUGACAAUUUGUCAAUCGCUCGCCGCGCUCUACUUGGCUAAUUUAACUGCGGUUUUAAUUAGCCUGUCUGCUCGCUUUAAGCCUCUCGGGAUAGGAGACGAGUGAACGUUAAUAACAAAGGACUUCAGUGGCAAAGUGUCAGGUGACAGCAGCCAAGUAUGUACUUAUGUAGAUGGCGGUGCCAGGGAUUGUGCAAAACACCUUCUGGGCAGAGUGAAUUUGAAGGCAAGGAAAGCUUAAGUUGUCAUGCAAUAAUUUGUCCUGCUACCGUCCCCCCAAUAUUAAUUCCCUGACCCCAAAAAGAAAGCAUUAAACCCAGAGGUUUAAUCCAUUUUUAUUUCCGUCACAAAUUAAUGUUCGUGGUUCAUGUUCAGCCGAUGUCAGUCGUAGAUCCUUCGUCGUUAGCACCAUCCUCAUCCGCUUAUUCGAGCUUAAUUCUUAUAGAAAUAAUAAAAUUAAAACUAUUUUCUAUAUUUUCCAUAAUUUUGGGAUGUUUUUGCCCUUUUGCGGGGGCGGAACGGGCCGGGGCAAAUUUUUUAAAUACACUGGUCUCAGUGUGAGCAUACAGCAGUC
rnacentral:lncRNA from 1 species